rnacentral:snRNA from 1 species
AUGAUAAAAACGUUGACCCGGU